CGUUAACCCUGAUUAACUUUGGUGUGCUCAAAUCCAUAAUCUGAUGACAUUGGGACUGCAUUCCCCAAAACACACAUAGGGGUUUAGCCAGUUGACAUAAAGCAUACAUCUAAAUCCUAAACAGGAAAGGGAUAUUCUGUCCGAUGGCCAGUAUUACAGUAAAACAUUACGUUUAAUACAGUUGUUUAAAAAAGCUAGUAAAAUAGAGCUAGCUAAAAUGUAUAACCAAAAAUAAAGUGAACACACAAGAUGGGGGAGAGGGUUAUUGUACACAGGCUAAAGGUGGGGAAAUAUGUACACAGGAUAUGUACUGGCCUGUCUCCUGGUAGCGCCUCCAUGCUCUGGACACUACGCUGACAGACACAGC